UACCAGCACCCCGAGUGGUCGGGACGUUUAUUGGGCCUAAAGCAUCCGUAGCCGGUUCUACAAGUCUUCCGUUAAAUCCACCUGCUUAACAGAUGGGCUGCGGAAGAUACUAUAGAGCUAGGAGGCGGGAGAGGCAAGCGGUACUCGAUGGGUAGGGGUAAAAUCCGUUGAUCCAUUGAAGACCACCAGUGGCGAAGGCGGCUUGCCAGAACGCGCUCGACGGUGAGGGAUGAAAGCUGGGGGGAGCAAACGGG
rnacentral:rRNA from 1 species